rnacentral:misc_RNA from 1 species
GAUGAAGAACGCAGCGAAAUGCGAUAAGUAAUGUGAAUUGCAGAAUUCAGUGAAUCAUCGAAUCUUUGAACGCACAUUGCGCCCCUUGGUAUUCCGAGGGGCAUGCCUGUUCGAGCGUCAUUAUAACCCCUCAAGCUCAGCUUGGUGUUGGGGCCUGCUUCACUGGCAGCCCUUAAAAUCAGUGGCGGCGCCAUCUGGCUCUAAGCGUAGUAAUUCUUCUCGCUAUGGAGUCCUGGUGGAUGCUUGCCAUCAACCCCCAAUUUUUCUAUGGUUGACCUCGGAUCAGGUAGGGAUACCCGCUGAACUUAAGCAUAUCAAUAAGCGGAGGA